rnacentral:rRNA from 1 species
UACGAAGGGUGCAAGCGUUACUCGGAAUUACUGGGCGUAAAGCGCACGUAGUCGGCUUUGCAAGUCGGGUGUGAAAUCCCCGGGCUCAGCCUGGGAACUGCAUCCGAGACUGCAUUGCUAGAGUAUGGGAGAGGGAAGCGGAAUUUCUGGUGUAGCAGUGAAAUGCGUAGAUAUCAGAAGGAACAUCAGUGGCGAAGGCGGCUUCCUGGACCAAUACUGACGAUCAGGUGCGAAAGCGUGGGGAGCAAACAGG